rnacentral:rRNA from 1 species
AACGAACGCUGGCGGCAUGCCUAACACAUGCAAGUCGAACGAGACCUUCGGGUCUAGUGGCGCACGGGUGCGUAACGCGUGGUAACCUGCCCUUAGGUUCGGAAUAACUCCCCGAAAGGGGUGCUAAUACCGGAUAAUUUCUUCGGACCAAAGAUUUAUCGCCUUUGGAUGGGCCCGCGUUGGAUUAGCUAGUUGGUAGGGUAAAAGCCUACCAAGGCGACGAUCCAUAGCUGGUCUGAGAGGAUGAUCAGCCACACUGGGACUGAGACACGGCCCAGACUCCUACGGGAGGCAGCAGUGGGGAAUAGUGGACAAUGGGCGAAAGCCUGAUCCAGCAAUGCCGCGUGAGUGAUGAAGGCCUUAGGGUUGUAAAGCUCUUUUACCCGGGAUGAUAAUGACAGUACCGGGAGAAUAAGCUCCGGCUAACUCCGUG